AAGAACCAACAGGGAUUGCCUCAGUAACGGCGAGUGAAGCGGCAACAGCUCAAAUUUGAAAGCUGCCAACAGGCCGCAUUGUAAUUUGUAGAAGAUGCUUUGGGUGUCGGCCUAGUCUAAGUUCCUUGGAACAGGACGUCAUAGAGGGUGAGAAUCCCGUACGUGAUUGGUGCCGGUGCCCGUGUAAAGCUCUUUCGACGAGUCGAGUUGUUUGGGAAUGCAGCUCAAAAUGGGUGGUAAAUUUCAUCUAAAGCUAAAUAUUGGCCAGAGACCGAUAGCGCACAAGUAGAGUGAUCGAAAGAUGAAAAGCACUUUGGAAAGAGAGUUAAACAGUACGUGAAAUUGUUGAAAGGGAAGCGCUUGCAACCAGACUUGCGGGCGGUCGAUCAUCCGAGGUUUUCCCCGGUGCACUCGAUCGUUCUCAGGCCAGCAUCGGUUUCGGUGGUGGGAUAAAGGCUGUGGGAAUGUGGCCCUUCGGGGUGUUAUAGCCCACGGUGCAAUGCCGCCUACCGGGACCGAGGACCGCGCUUCGGCUAGGAUGCUGGCGUAAUGGUUGUAAGCGACCCGUCUUGAAACACGGACCAAGGAGUCUAACAUCUAUGCGAGUGUUUGGGUGUCAAACCCAUACGCGUAAUGAAAGUGAACGGAGGUAAGAGCCCUUUAGGGUGCAUUAUCGACCGAUCCUGAUGUCUUCGGAUGGAUUUGAGUAAGAGCAUAGCUGUUGGGACCCGAAAGAUGGUGAACUAUGCGUGAAUAGGGUGAAGCCAGAGGAAACUCUGGUGGAGGCUCGCAGCGGUUCUGACGUGCAAAUCGAUCGUCAAAUUUGCGUAUAGGGGCGAAAGACUAAUCGAACCAUCUAGUAGCUGGG
rnacentral:rRNA from 1 species